GACGAACGCUGGCGGCGUGCUUAACACAUGCAAGUCGAACGAAGUGGCGAACGGGUGAGUAACGCGUAAUCAACCUGCCCUUCAGAGGGGGAACACAGUUGGAAACGACUGCUAAUACCGCCUACUGACGAAGGGGAUUGCGUCUGAUUAGCUAGUUGGAGGGGUAACGGCCCACCAAGGCGAUGAUCAGUAGCAUGUCUUGUAGGAUGAACGGCCAAAUUGGGACUGAGACACGGCCCAGACUCCUACGGGAGGCAGCAGUGGGGAAUCUUCCGAAAUGGAUGAAAGUCUGGCGGAGCAACGCCGCGUGAGUGAUGACGGCCUUCGGGUUGUAAAGCUCUGUUAAUCGGGACGCGGUACCGGAAUAGAAAGCCACGGCUAACUACGUGCCAGCAGCCGCGGUAAUAC
rnacentral:rRNA from 1 species